GUCCACGUGGCGGAAUGGCAGACGCAGCCGUCUCAAACACGGCUUCUCCGCGAGGGGAAAGUGAAGGUUCGACUCCUUCCGUGGACA
rnacentral:tRNA from 1 species